rnacentral:lncRNA from 1 species
GCAGAAGUGCCGAGUCCCGGCCGGGGGCAGCCUCGCCGCCGCUCAGCUCGGGAAUCCCUGCCCCCCACCAGCACCUCAGUGGGGGAUACUGCAAGUUCAAGAAUUGGGGCCAGGAUCAGGUGGUGACAGAGCCACCUGGGUUUCCGGAGACUCUCAAGCCAACCCCAAGUCAUGACAAAUGCCAGUCGCCUUGGACAGAGGCAAGGGCCUGGACGCAGAGACCAGAGGCCUGAACUGGCAGACUGUCCUCACAGGCUGUGUGACGCUGGCUGGUCGUCCCAUCUCUCUGGGGCCCCACAGGACUGGGGACCAGGUCGUGGAAUGACAGUGGACCACAGUGGUCCGGGGACCCCGCUCGUUGGUGGCAGGCACAGGCCCGUGUGAUGGGGACAAUGAGCUUUGGUAUUUGUGAGUCCUGUCCAGAGCAUAGGUCCUCCUGUUCAGAAGCCACCUCAUAAAUGUCCCCAGUGCCUCCCGGACUUAGGAAGGCAUCCCCUUGUGGUUCUGGCCAGUUAGGGACACAGGGCCGGGGAGUCUAUGCCGCUCAGAACAGGCUCAGCUGCAUCUAAUCCCAGGGGAGCCCCUGAGGAGCCUGCACACCCCCCAG